GGCCAGAUGGCCGAGUUGGUCUAAGGCGCCAGGUUUAGGCCCUGGUCUUUUCGGAGGCGUGGGUUCGAAUCCCACUCUGGUCA
rnacentral:tRNA from 6 species